GACGAACGCUGGCGGCGUGCUUAACGCAUGCAAGUCGAACGGAAAGGCCCUGCUUUUGUGGGGUGCUCGAGUGGCGAACGGGUGAGUAACACGUGAGUAACCUGCCCUUGACUUUGGGAUAACUUCAGGAAACUGGGGCUAAUACCGGAUAGGAGCUCCUGCUGCAUGGUGGGGGUUGGAAAGUUUCGGCGGUUGGGGAUGGACUCGCGGCUUAUCAGCUUGUUGGUGGGGUAGUGGCUUACCAAGGCUUUGACGGGUAGCCGGCCUGAGAGGGUGACCGGCCACAUUGGGACUGAGAUACGGCCCAGACUCCUACGGGAGGCAGCAGUGGGGAAUAUUGCACAAUGGGCGGAAGCCUGAUACAGCAACGCCGCGUGCGGGAUGACGGCCUUCGGGUUGUAAACCGCUUUCGCCUGUGACGAAGCGUGAGUGACGGUAAUGGGUAAAGAAGCACCGGCUAACUACGUG
rnacentral:rRNA from 1 species